rnacentral:rRNA from 1 species
UACGUAGGGGGCAAGCGUUGUCCGGAAUCAUUGGGCGUAAAGGGCGCGUAGGCGGUGUGUCAAGUCAGGCGUGAAAGCCCCGGGCUCAACCUGGGAACAGCGCUUGAGACUGGCACGCUCGAGUUCGGGAGAGGAUGGUGGAAUUCCCAGUGUAGAGGUGAAAAUUCGUAGAUAUUGGGAAAGAACACCGAUGGCGAAGGCAGCCAUCUGGACCGACACUGACGCUGAGGCGCGAAAGCGUGGGGAGCAAACAGG